GAGCUCAAAGGUUUCAUUACUUCAACGUUUGGCAAAAUUCUGAAGCUUGAUUCCACUAAGAAGGUAAAUGUAAACCAAAAUUAAACCCAAAAGUAAACCAACUGCCAAAUUAAGGCAGUUGGUGACAGUCUGUCUAAAAAAAUUAUUUAUGAUCUUGUGAACACAGGAGUGGGCCCAGUUCUCAAGGGGUUUCGGCCAUGGACAUCCACUGUGCGGUUGGGUGUGUUCCACUUUAUGAGGUGAUUCACAAGAAGUCUCACCACGGAACACCAUCCACUGUAUGGUACCUUCUGUUCUAAAUUGUCGAGCUGCAUUUUUGAGUGGGACAUGCAGGACGUCUGUCAUCUGAAAGAGGCCAAGCGGACAAGGCUGAGGAAGAAACAUCAGGGCCAUCAGCCAACAGAUGCCCAGGUGUGGCGAGCAUCAGCUCUAAAGAGCUAGCCGAGCACUGCCGCAGGAAAACCCGGGGAGUGGAGGAGACCCGUGCCCUCAUCAAAAGUCUUCUAGACUCAAUGUGGCAGUUUGUGGACGGCACCGGGCUGCACCUCAUCAACCACGACCACAUGUCUCGCGUGUGGGAGGUACAGCACUUUGCCUGCAUCCAGGAUCCACCAGGAGUGCAGCUUUAUACCAACAUUUGGUAAGGGCUGGAGAAAGGAGACAAAACGUUGAAUGUCCUAAGAUGCUGCAGAGGUUCCUCCUCUCUGGAAAGCUUCCAUAAGCACCAGUGUGCUUUCAUUCCAGGGUGGAGAUGCAAUGCAUUGCACACUCAAGAUGUACAUGCUUGAGGGUGUGUCAAGGUGGAAUUUGAACCGGUCAGCACAAGCACUUGGUAUGACUGAGACAUCCUGGACAAAGAUAUAUGACAUACGCUUGAUUUACAACGUGAAUGCGCUCAGCCACAAAGUCUUGGGAAAACCUCUUCUUCCAGAGUUUAUCCCCCCUGGGAAACCUACCGGAGAGCGUAUUGCUGUGUAUCUUCUCGCACAGUCCAACAGAGGAGAUCUUCUGAGACAGCAGGUUGGUGAUGAUGAUGAUUGAUGAUGAGGAUAAUGAUGGCAUCCUGCCAGAUAUCUUCGAUGAAACCUCGAGGAUGAAUGUACCGUCCUCAUGACCUCACAUUGCAGGAAAUUGGAAGCGGUGGCCCCAGGCCCAGGUCGGAUCCCCGGUCCCCAUUUGAGGAGAGUUAUGCCUCUGCAAGACCCGUCCACUCCCCAAUUGAGGAGAGAGAUGCCUCUUCAAGUCCCGUCCACUCCCCAACUGAUGAGAGAGAUGCCACUGCAAGUCCUGUCCACUCCCCAAUCGAUGUCCUCGCCUCAUUUGAAGAGAGUGGGCUCGUUACUCCAGCUCCGAUGACUAAGACAGGGAAGUCAGACAGCUACUGGAGGGACCUCUGCAUAAAAUAUGCCCAGGACCAAUACCGCUUCUCGACUGGCAAACGGCCAGGGGCCAAGAAAUGGAAAAAGGCCUUGGAGAGUAUCGAUGCCUGCCCCCUGCAGAGCCAUAGUGCUAGUAAGGAUCUGUUCGGGAGAAGCCUUCAGUGCUCCUGUGGGUUCCAAAAGGCGAGCGCAUAGCAGUGGAGUAUUUAUUGGCCCAGACCAACAGAGGUGACCUGCUGGCUCCAAAUCAGGUCCCUGAGGUCCCCUCGCAGGUACUUGAGGAGGAGGAUGAGCCAGAUGACACCAUCAGCAUGACUGACAUUCUGUGCCAGUCAGCUGCGAUAGGGGCUGGUGAUCCUCCAGGUGCUGUGGUGGGUGAUGCUGAACCCGGACCCCUCGUCACAGAGACCAGCCAAUGUGACUCAAGGAGGAUGCGGUUGAUAACCUGGCAGGCUACCUAGUUGGCUUGAAUCGCACCAUCACUGCCUUGUCAUUGAAGGAGGAGGUGGACAUAGUCCAGCUAUAUACAGCUCUCCAUGUCAUGGACAAGAAGCAUUCGAGUUCCACAGACUGUACAUGACUCACGGCCAAGCAGCCCAGGAUCCCGAACACCACAGGGUCAGUGAGUGUGUCUGCCUCAGACUCCCUUUUGGAGUUCCAGGAGCCUGAGAACCGUGAGGGCACCCCCGGAACACUCCCAGGAGUACUCCUCUGCCCAUCAGCUACCCCCAGCUCACACUCAAGGCUGGUCCACUUACCAGGCACCCCUUGCACACUCCCAUGUUUGGUCUUCCACCCAACCACCACCCUCAGCGUCCAACCAGGGCUGGUCUGCCACCCAACCACCACCCUCAGCAUCCUCCCAGGGCUGGUCAUCCACCUCCUACUGUCCUGACCAACCUAGGCUCCCUCACCAAGCACACCCAGAGGCACUAGGUCACCUUAAUCGCCAGCGUGAAUGGCGAUUACACAAGGCAACCCAAAUCCAAGCAAACUGGACACUAUCAGUUACGUGGAAAAUGGUACUGCCCUGCAUCCGGACAGAUGCUUGAGGAGUGGAGAAGCUCCUUGUAAUUACCCCAAUAGACAUUAUUUUUUAUUGUAAUUUUUUUUAUUUCUUAUCAGAAAAUAUGUUAACGUUCACUGUUGAAAAAUAAGUAUAUUUGCUGUUGCAAAAAAUAAUAAUAAUUAGUUGCCGUUGCAACUAUUUGCAAAAAAAAACAAACAGAAUAGUUGCUUAUGCAACUAUUUGCAAAAAUAAAAACAACUACAAAA
ensembl:lncRNA